AAGUCGUAACAAGGUCUCCGUUGGUGAACCAGCGGAGGGAUCAUUACCGAGUUUACAACUCCCAAACCCAAUGUGAACGUUACCAAACUGUUGCCUCGGCGGGAUCUCUGCCCCGGGUGCGUCGCAGCCCCGGACCAAGGCGCCCGCCGGAGGACCCAAACUCUAAUGUUUCUUAUUGUAACUUCUGAGUAAAACAAACAAAUAAAUCAAAACUUUCAACAACGGAUCUCUUGGUUCUG
rnacentral:misc_RNA from 1 species